GCUCAGAUUGAACGCUGGCGGCAGGCCUAACACAUGCAAGUCGAGCGGUAGCACAGAGAGCUUGCUCUCGGGUGACGAGCGGCGGACGGGUGAGUAAUGUCUGGGAAACUGCCUGAUGGAGGGGGAUAACUACUGGAAACGGUAGCUAAUACCGCAUAAUGUCGCAAGACCAAAGUGGGGGACCUUUGGGCCUCAUGCCAUCAGAUGUGCCCAGAUGGGAUUAGCUAGUAGGUGGGGUAACGGCUCACCUAGGCGACGAUCCCUAGCUGGUCUGAGAGGAUGACCAGCCACACUGGAACUGAGACACGGUCCAGACUCCUACGGGAGGCAGCAGUGGGGAAUAUUGCACAAUGGGCGCAAGCCUGAUGCAGCCAUGCCGCGUGUGUGAAGAAGGCCUUCGGGUUGUAAAGCACUUUCAGCGGGGAGGAAGGCGUUAAGGUUAAUAACCUUGGCGAUUGACGUUACCCGCAGAAGAAGCACCGGCUAACUCCGUGCCAGCAGCCGCGGUAAUACGGAGGGUGCAAGCGUUAAUCGGAAUUACUGGGCGUAAAGCGCACGCAGGCGGUCUGUCAAGUCGGAUGUGAAAUCCCCGGGCUCAACCUGGGAACUGCAUUCGAAACUGGCAGGCUAGAGUCUUGUAGAGGGGGGUAGAAUUCCAGGUGUAGCGGUGAAAUGCGUAGAGAUCUGGAGGAAUACCGGUGGCGAAGGCGGCCCCCUGGACAAAGACUGACGCUCAGGCGCGAAAGCGUGGGGAGCAAACAGGAUUAGAUACCCUGGUAGUCCACGCCGUAAACGAUGUCGAUUUGGAGGUUGUGCCCUUGAGGCGUGGCUUCCGGAGCUAACGCGUUAAAUCGACCGCCUGGGGAGUACGGCCGCAAGGUUAAAACUCAAAUGAAUUGACGGGGGCCCGCACAAGCGGUGGAGCAUGUGGUNUAAUUCGAUGCAACGCGAAGAACCUUACCUGGUCUUGACAUCCACAGAACUUUCCAGAGAUGGAUUGGUGCCUUCGGGAACUGUGAGACAGGUGCUGCAUGGCUGUCGUCAGCUCGUGUUGUGAAAUGUUGGGUUAAGUCCCGCAACGAGCGCAACCCUUAUCCUUUGUUGCCAGCGGUUAGGCCGGGAACUCAAAGGAGACUGCCAGUGAUAAACUGGAGGAAGGUGGGGAUGACGUCAAGUCAUCAUGGCCCUUACGACCAGGGCUACACACGUGCUACAAUGGCAUAUACAAAGAGAAGCGACCUCGCGAGAGCAAGCGGACCUCAUAAAGUAUGUCGUAGUCCGGAUUGGAGUCUGCAACUCGACUCCAUGAAGUCGGAAUCGCUAGUAAUCGUAGAUCAGAAUGCUACGGUGAAUACGUUCCCGGGCCUUGUACACACCGCCCGUCACACCAUGGGAGUGGGUUGCAAAAGAAGUAGGUAGCUUAACCUUCGGGAGGGCGCUUACCACUUUGUGAUUCAUGACUGGGGUGAAGUCGUAACAAGGU
rnacentral:rRNA from 1 species